rnacentral:tRNA from 1 species
UGGAGGGGAACUGAGGGCAGACUUAGUUUUGGGCUCAUAACCCAAAGGUCGAAGGUUCAAAUCCUUCCCCCGCAA